UACGUAGGGUGCAAGCGUUGUCCGGAAUUAUUGGGCGUAAAGAGCUCGUAGGCGGUUCGUCGCGUCGGCUGUGAAAUCCCGAGGCUCAACCUCGGGUCUGCAGUCGAUACGGGCAGACUGGAGUUCGGCAGGGGAGACUGGAAUUCCUGGUGUAGCGGUGAAAUGCGCAGAUAUCAGGAGGAACACCGGUGGCGAAGGCGGCUCACUGGCCCGGUACUGACGCUGAGGU
rnacentral:rRNA from 1 species